AUUGAACGCUGGCGGAAUGCUUUACACAUGCAAGUCGAACGGUAGAGGGGGCAACCCCUCGAGAGUGGCGAACGGGUGAGUAAUAUAUCGGAACGUGCCCAGUCGUGGGGGAUAACGUAGCGAACGUUACGCUAAUACCGCAUACGAUCUAAGGAUGAAAGCGGGGGAUCGCAAGACCCCGCCCGAUUGGAGCGGCCGAUAUCAGAUUAGGUAGUUGGUGGGGUAAAGGCUCACCAAGCCAACGAUCUGUAGCUGGUCUGAGAGGACGACCAGCCACACUGGAACUGAGACACGGUCCAGACUCCUACGGGGGGCAGCAGUGGGGAAUUUUGGACAAUGGACGCAAGUCUGAUCCAGCCAUUCCGCGUGCAGGAUGAAGGCCCUCGGGUUGUAAACUGCUUUUGUACGGAACGAAAAGGUCUCUCUUAAUACGGGGGGCUCAUGACGGUACCGUAAGAAUAAGCACCGGCUAACUACGUGCCAGCCGCCGCCGUAA
rnacentral:rRNA from 1 species